rnacentral:lncRNA from 1 species
AAACAAAGAAAAUAACCUGCAAUAAUUAACAAUGCAUUAAUUUAGAUUUGAGGAGAAAUUAGCAAUAACACAAAGAAAGUAACCUGCUAUAGUUAACAGUGCAUUAAUUAAAAUUUGAAACUAAGGAGAAAUAACAAUAAAACAAACAAGGGUACUAAUUAAACAUUAGUUGUAGCUUCCUAGAGGUACUCUUGAGAACAAGACCAGGGUACACAUCAUCAGCAUCAUUGAUGUGAGUAUUUUCUUCCAAUAUAAAUAUGUCUUCACACUUAUCGGAUAUUGUUUGAAGGGUUUCUCCUUCUCCAACUACGUAUAUUUCAUCACACAAUUCAUUUGAUAAUCCUUCUUGAUCAUGUUCUUCGACACUUCGCGCUUCCAAGUUGUACUUUGUUGUAUGCAAAAAUAACACAAGAAAAAGAGAGAAAUAUGAAUUGAAGUUUUCUGCCGAAGCCUUUCCUGAGGAAGCCAUACGUGAAGUAGAUUGAAAAGAAAGAGAUGUAUUGAUAAGAAAAUUGAAAAAAAGUUUAUAUAAUUUGUUGGUUGAUUAGCAUAUGCAGAAAGUGGGGAGGCUUCCCACGUUACUUGAUAAAG